UACGUAGGUGACCAGCGUUGUCCGGAUUUACUGGGCGUAAAGAGCGCGCAGGCGGUCGUUCAAGUCGAGUGUGAAAGCCCCCGGCUCAACUGGGGAGGGUCACUCGAUACUGAUCGACUUGAAGGCAGGAGAGGGAAGCGGAAUUCCCGGUGUAGAGGUGAAAUUCGUAGAUAUUCGCAAGAACACCAGUGGCGAAGGCGGCUCACUGGCCCGAUACUGACGCUGAGGCACGAAAGCGUGGGGAGCAAACAGG
rnacentral:rRNA from 1 species